AGUGAACGCUGGCGGUAGGCCUAACACAUGCAAGUCGAACGGCAGCACAGUAAGAGCUUGCUCUUACGGGUGGCGAGUGGCGGACGGGUGAGGAAUACAUCGGAAUCUACUUUUUCGUGGGGGAUAACGUAGGGAAACUUACGCUAAUACCGCAUACGACCUACGGGUGAAAGCAGGGGAUCUUCGGACCUUGCGCGAUUGAAUGAGCCGAUGUCGGAUUAGCUAGUUGGCGGGGUAAAGGCCCACCAAGGCGACGACCCGUAGCUGGUCUGAGAGGAUGAUCAGCCAGACUGGAACUGAGACACGGUACAGACUCCUACGGGAGGCAGCAGUGGGGAAUAUUGGACAAUGGGCGCAAGCCUGAUCCAGCCAUACCGCGUGGGUGAAGAAGGCCUUCGGGUUGUAAAGCCCUUUUGUUGGGAAAGAAAAGCAGCAGGUUAAUACCCCGCUGUUCUGACGGUACCCAAAGAAUAAGCACCGGCUAACUUCGUG
rnacentral:rRNA from 1 species